UACGUAGGGUGCGAGCGUUGUCCGGAAUUAUUGGGCGUAAAGGGCUCGUAGGCGGUUUGUCGCGUCGGGAGUGAAAUCAUCUGGCUUAACUGGGUGCUUGCUUUCGAUACGGGCAGACUAGAGGUAUGCAGGGGAGAACGGAAUUCCUGGUGUAGCGGUGAAAUGCGCAGAUAUCAGGAGGAACACCGGUGGCGAAGGCGGGUCUCUGGGCCGAUACUGACGCUGAGGAGCGAAAGCGUGGGGAGCGAACAGG
rnacentral:rRNA from 1 species